CAAUAUCAGCACCAUGGCCUGGACUCCUCUCUUUCUGUUCCUCCUCACUUGCUGCCCAGGGUCCAAUUCUCAGACUGUGGUGACUCAGGAGCCCUCACUGACUGUGUCCCCAGGAGGGACAGUCACUCUCACCUGUGCUUCCAGCACUGGAGCAGUCACCAGUGGUUACUAUCCAAACUGGUUCCAGCAGAAACCUGGACAAGCACCCAGGGCACUGAUUUAUAGUACAAGCAACAAACACUCCUGGACCCCUGCCCGGUUCUCAGGCUCCCUCCUUGGGGGCAAAGCUGCCCUGACACUGUCAGGUGUGCAGCCUGAGGACGAGGCUGAGUAUUACUGCCUGCUCUACUAUGGUGGGACCUGGACUCUGACCCCCUGCCCCUCAUCCACCCCGCAGGUCAGCCCAAGGCUGCCCCCUCGGUCACUCUGUUCCCACCCUCCUCUGAGGAGCUUCAAGCCAACAAGGCCACACUGGUGUGUCUCAUAAGUGACUUCUACCCGGGAGCCGUGACAGUGGCCUGGAAGGCAGAUAGCAGCCCCGUCAAGGCGGGAGUGGAGACCACCACACCCUCCAAACAAAGCAACAACAAGUACGCGGCCAGCAGCUACCUGAGCCUGACGCCUGAGCAGUGGAAGUCCCACAAAAGCUACAGCUGCCAGGUCACGCAUGAAGGGAGCACCGUGGAGAAGACAGUGGCCCCUACAGAAUGUUCAUAGGUUCUCAUCCCUCACCCCCCACCACGGGAGACUAGAGCUGCAGGAUCCCAGGGGAGGGGUCUCUCCUCCCACCCCAAGGCAUCAAGCCCUUCUCCCUGCACUCAAUAAACCCUCAAUAAAUAUUCUCAUUGUCAAUCA
rnacentral:lncRNA from 1 species